rnacentral:rRNA from 1 species
UAGUGAGUUUGAUCCUGGCUCAGGACGAACGCUGGCGGCAUGCCUAACACAUGCAAGUCGAACGGUUGCAGCAAUGCAGCAGUGGCAGACGGGUGAGUAACACGUGGGAACCUUCCUAGGGGUACGGAACAACUCAGGGAAACUUGAGCUAAUACCGUAUACGUCCGUGAGGAGAAAGAUUUAUCGCCCUUAGACGGGCCCGCGUCGGAUUAGGUAGUUGGUGGGGUAACGGCCUACCAAGCCUACGAUCCGUAGCUGAUCUUAGAGGAUGAUCAGCCACACUGGGACUGAGACACGGCCCAGACUCCUACGGGGAGGCAGCAGUGGGGAAUCUUGGACAAUGGGCGCAAGCCUGAUCCAG